GGUAUUUUGGAGUGCUCGAUAGUUCUGUGUUUUGAUGAAAUGAAACCCUGCAUUGAUGAUGCUGUAUAUGAAUGGCUAUGGCCGGAUGGAACCACUAAAGGCGAUGUCGAUGAAUAUCUUUUUAUUGAUGUGUUCACUUGCUUCUUCGAAACCUUCACCUCCUCCUUGAAAGAGUGUCAGGCCAUCUACGACUAUCAUCUGACGAACAAACCUUAAG